rnacentral:rRNA from 1 species
AGUUACCGCUCUAUAACCCUUUGUGAACAUACCUAACUGUUGCUUCGGCGGACGGCUCCCGGGCCCCCCGGCCCCGCUCUGCGGGGUGUCCGCCGGAGGAUAACCAAACUCUGAUUUAACGACGUUUCUUCUGAGUGGCACAAGCAAAUAAUCAAAACUUUUAACAACGGAUCUCUUGGUUCUGGCAUCGAUGAAGAACGCAGCGAAAUGCGAUAAGUAAUGUGAAUUGCAGAAUUCAGUGAAUCAUCGAAUCUUUGAACGCACAUUGCGCCCGCCAGCAUUCUGGCGGGCAUGCCUGUUCGAGCGUCAUUUCAACCCUCAAGCACUGCUUGGCGUUGGGGCUCUACGGUUGACGUAGGCCCUCAAAGGUAGUGGCGGACCCUCUCGGAGCCUCCUUUGCGUAGUAACUUUUGUCUCGCACUGGGAUUCGGAGGGACUCUAGCCGUUAAACCCCCAAUUUUCCAAAGGUUGACCUCGGAUCAGGUAGGAAUACCCGCUGAACUUAAGCAUAUCAAUAAGCGGAGGAAAAGAAACCAACAGGGAUUGCCCCAGUAACGGCGAGUGAAGCGGCAACAGCUCAAAUUUGAAAUCUGGCCCUUGGGCCCGAGUUGUAAUUUGCAGAGGAUGCUUUUGGCGCGGU